rnacentral:rRNA from 1 species
AACGAACGCUGGCGGCAUGCCUAACACAUGCAAGUCGAACGAGACCUUCGGGUCUAGUGGCGCACGGGUUCGUAACGCGUGGGAACCUGCCCUUAUGUUCGGCAUAACUCCCCGAAAGGGGUGCUAAUACCGGAUAAUGUCUUCGGACCAAAGAUUUAUCGCCUUUGGAUGGGCCAGCGUUGAAUUAGCUAGUUGGUAGGGUAAAAGCCUACCAAGGCUACUAUCCAUAGCUCGUCUGAGAGGAUGAUCAGCAACACUGGGACUGAGACACGGCCCAGACACCGACGGGGGGCAGCAGUAGGGAAUCUUACGCGAGGGGCGAAAGCCGGACGGAGCAACGCGGGGGGAGUGAUGAAGGUGUUCGGAUGGGAAAGCGAUGAAAUCAGGGAAGAACAAAAGUGUAAGUAACCGUGAAGAUAAUGACGGUACCGGAACAAAAAGCCACGGCUAACUACGUG